rnacentral:rRNA from 1 species
AACGAACGCUGGCGGCAUGCCUAACACAUGCAAGUCGAACGAUCCCUUCGGGGAUAGUGGCGCACGGGUGCGUAACGCGUGGGAACCUGCCCUUAGGUUCGGAAUAACUCAGAGAAAUUUGAGCUAAUACCGGAUAAUGUCUUCGGACCAAGGAUUUAUCGCCUUUGGAUGGGCCCGCGUUGGAUUAGCUAGUUGGUGGGGUAAAGGCCUACCAAGGCGACGAUCCAUAGCUGGUCUGAGAGGAUGAUCAGCCACACUGGGACUGAGACACGGCCCAGACUCCUACGGGAGGCAGCAGUGGGGAAUAUUGGACAAUGGGUGAAAGCCUGAUCCAGCAAUGCCGCGUGAGUGAUGAAGGCCUUAGGGUUGUAAAGCUCUUUUACCCGGGAUGAUAAUGACAGUACCGGGAGAAUAAGCCCCGGCUAACUCCGUG